GACGAACCGUGCAAACGUUGUUCGGAAUCACUGGGCUUAAAGGGCGCGUAGGCGGCCGAUCAAGUCGGGGGUGAAAGCCUGUGGCUCAACCACAGAAUUGCCUUCGAUACUGUUUGGCUUGAGACCGGAAGAGGUUAGUGGAACUGCGAGUGUAGAGGUGAAAUUCGUAGAUAUUCGCAAGAACACCAGUGGCGAAGGCGGCUGACUGGUCCGGUUCUGACGCUGAGGCGCGAAAGCGUGGGGAGCAAACAGG
rnacentral:rRNA from 1 species